UACAACUUUUAGCAACGGAUCUCUUGGCUCUCGCAUCGAUGAAGAACGCAGCGAAAUGCGAUAAGUAAUGUGAAUUGCAGAAUUCAGUGAAUCAUCGAAUCUUUGAACGCACCUUGCGCUCCUUGGUAUUCCGAGGAGCAUGCCUGUUUGAGUGUCAUUAAAUUCUCAACCUC
rnacentral:rRNA from 3 species